UCAGAACAGCACAGGAUUCUUUGAGUUGCUUUGAUGUUACCUCCUCUGCAUGAAGUGUGAGCUCUCGAGGUGCUCAUUCUGUCAGCAUGUGUAGCUGAUCCAUGUCACACAGCACUGCAGCUGUGGGCCUGGGAGCUGAUUUUGCAUUUCUUUUGCCCAUUUAGUGCAGAUAAACCUUUGUUACUCCCUGUGGCUGCAAAGCAUUAAAACAUCAAUUUUUUUUAAUGCUCCUUGUAAAAAUUAAAUGUUCUACAGCAUGUUCUUCCUGUGGGAUUUCCCCAGUGGCCAUCCAGGGAAAAGAAUUGGGCUUGUUUGCUUUUCUCCCUCUUUAUUUGUUUCUUGACUGACUCUUGGUUGGUUUUAGCUGUUUCUCUCGUGUCAAAUAGAGUUUACUCAAAGAGGUUUUGUUCAGGUUUUAGCCAUUUCUCUGAUCUCAAAUAGAUUUCUUCACCUGUGUACUUGAUGAGUGCAUUCAAGGAGCAGGUGAUCUCUGAGGUCCAUUCCAGCCUAAGCCAUUCCAUGAUUGCAUGAGUGCAGCACAGCAUCCCGAGGCUAAGGCUUGGGAGGGAAGUCUGUCUCCUUGGGCUGACGGAGGACACCUGCAGUGUGCUGGCUCUUCCAUGCUGCAGAUGGGAGAAGCAGCUCCACAAAUGUAGGGCAGCUUUGCUUGGAAAUGGCUUCAAAAAGCCUUUUAGCAGCUGAACUGAGGUUUAAAAUAGAAACAGCUGAAGGACAUAAAGUGUCUGCCUGUAUUAGUGGAAGCUGCUGUGUAAAUACUUGAGUGGUUUCACUAGUGCAAGGUCUUUGUUGUGUGGGGCAUGGCAGAGUGCUCGUAUUUCAGGGAGGAAGACAAUGGAGUUUGCAGGCUACUCUUGCUGACUGUGAGUGGCUCCACCACUCCCUUAGCCAAGAUCCAGUGGUAGUGGAUUUUUAAAUGAAAUCUCACUUUAAGAAAUAAAUUAAAAGUUGGUGCUUUAACAUUAGAGCACUAAGUGUAGUGUCUAGCACAGAGGGUUUAGAGUCCAAUUCUGUGCUGGGAUUUGACAUCCUCCUCCUUAGAGACAACACUUGAAAUGUUUUUUUCCUUUAGCUUUAGUUAUUUUCAUGUUUUAAACAUUUUACAUUAGAUCAGUGUUUCCCUGAUGAUGUAAAAGCCAUAAAUUUGAGUGCUUGGGACUGAGACAUGGUAGCUUAGCUUUCCGUGGAGACUGCUGCAAGGUAGAGAUUUUAGGCAGACUGAGGGAAAUUGCUGACUUUUGGUAGGUUUAUCUUGUCUCAACUGGCAAGGACAGGAGGAAGCAGACAUCUGCAGAUGUGACCUUUUGAGCAUACAGAUUUUCUGCUAAGUUAGCCUUUUUUCAGAGCUGUUUGUAUGAGAGAGUAGAGUUGAGGUGAAUGGGCUGGGAAAGUUUUCUGCUCAGUACUUCUAGGGGAGGUUGGGACCUUCUAAAGGUCCCAGGAGGGAAGGAAGUUAUCCUCUAGGCCAGAAUUGGUUAGUCAGCUCCAUUAUGACUGGAGUUUAUUCUGCCUCCUGAAGGUCUCUUAGCUGUGCAGGAUGUGGUCUGUCUCAGGUAUGUUCAAGUUGGCAGAAAAGCAGUUGAUGUUUGAGUGCUCCUGAGCUCAACCUGAGUUUGUGCAGUUCUUACUGUCAGUGGGAGACUCUUCCUGUUGCUUAGGAGGAGCCACUCUCAUGCUGAACAACUUCCUCCUCAUGUCCAGUCUGACUUUCCCCACCUCCAGCUUUGCUCCAUUCACCCCAGUCCUGUCACUCCCUGGUAGCCUCAAAAGUCCCUCCCCAGCUUUUUUGUAGCUCCCUUCAGAUACUGGAAGGCUACAAGAAGGUCACCUGGAAGCCUCCUCUUCUCCAGACUGAACAGCCCCAACUCUUUCAGCCUGUCCUCAUAGGAGAGCCAACAGCCAAGGGUUGGAGUGUUGACUAAGUUCAGGAAAUGGUAUUGGUUUUCACCUUCUCUCAUCUCUGCUUUCUCACCCAGAACUCUUUACCUGACCAGCAGUCGGAGUGAGAAGGAAUUCUUCCAGCCAGUGCCUCCAGUCAUGCUGUGCAGAGCAGCCUGUGGGAGCCUGUCAGUGCAGGCAGCAGCCUGCACAGGUAUUUCUUCUUCUGGUUCUGUUGUCUGCACUGGGGAUCUCACCUGAGGGAACCCCAGCACUUCCUCCUGCUUUGGCUUCAGUGUAGGUUCUGUGCAGGGCUGGGAGUGGCAGCUGUGGAAGGGCCAGAAUGCUGUAUCCGUGCCCAGCUCUGCGGUGUGGUUCCAAGCAGGCACACGGUGGCUGGCACAGCCCAUCUCUUCUCCCUGACCACAGAGGGUCAGGUGUGCUGAAUCCCACCAAUUCCCACGUGGCCUUCGGAUCAAUCAGUACUUCUCUUGGCUUGGUUUCCCCAGCUGGGAGCAGCUGUUCCAUCUCCCUGCUGUCCCAUGUGCUGUGUGCUCAGGUGAGGCAGGCAGUGCCUGCCAGGGACAGAAGCUGCUGCAGGGGACUGUGAAGAAGCUGCCAGGAGUGGAGGCAGAAGGCCAGGACAGUGAAUGAUCUCGAGUGCCCCCCUGGCAGUGCUGGAGGGUGAUGAUGGGCAGUUGCUCAGUGAGGAUAACAGUGCACAGAUUCUUUGUAGGCUUUCCCUUUGGGUGAAAUUAAAUAACCUGGUGGUGGUGCCUGUGCACAAGGCUGCAAGGAGGGAGUGACAGGGGUGGGAGGCACAGCCAGCAGAGUGGCAGACCCAUCCAAAGACUGGCAAGGUGGCAGCAUUUGGCAUCUCAUGUGCAUUGCAGGAUCAAAGUCUAUGCUGGUAGUAGUGAGCACACCAGAGGAUCCUGCUGUCAGCCUUCAGCCUCCUUGUAAGGUAUCUGGAGACCAUGGCUGACCUCUGUGCAACCAGUCCCCUUCGUUUCCCAGCACUGUGCUCAUGACAAGCAGAAGACCCUACCAGAGUGCUUCCAGUUCUGAGGUGUCUUAGGCCAGUAAAGUCAUCACAAGAUGCUGAAGCAAAAAAGCCUGAACUGUAGGAACAGUUCCCAGAAGGAUUCUGUGUGAGCAGAGGAGGACCACUUGCAGUAACACUGAAGUUGCACGAGAAGUAAGAUGUGGUCAGAUGGAGUGGCCUUGGCCUUCUGUCUUCUUGGGUCUUAGAUUCUUCUAGACAUGUUGACUGGGCCACAGCAGCAGCAAUGGGGAGAAGAAAGCCUGGUGAAGCUGCUGGGGGGGCUGUUACUGUGGUUUGAGGGUUGUUCUUUGUUGGUUUUGUUCAUAUUUGGGUUGUUUGUUUUUUUAGAAAGUAACAUCUGCUUUGUUUUAAUCCUGACAAAGAGAGUCCAGGCGUCCCUCCCUCUCCCUUCCCUCCUUCCUCCUUUGAGUGCUCCCAAGGGGCUGUACCUUCCCACUCAGAUGCAGCCUUUCUGAGUGAGGAUCCAGAGGUGUAUGGCAGAAGCCACGGCAGUGCUGGACCAGCUCUUUCCUGGAGGGAGACCUGAGCCCAAGGCCCAGGUUGGCUGUAGGCUUGGUAAGCAGGCAGAGGGAGUGAUGAGGAACACGAAAUUCUCUGUGCUAUCCUUUGCAGCUGUUUAUGGUUCAGGGUGAGGUCCUACAAGCUUGAAAUGCAAAGUUGUGUUCCACACCUCUUCAGCUGUCAUGGUUCUUACAGAGCCUCCAGUAAUUAGUAAAUGAGUGCAGGGCAGUCCAGAGCCAUGUCUUGUGUAACUAUUUAAAAUGACUCUUUCAGGUGCUGGCUGUGGCAGGAGAGCUGGGGCUGUGUAACUCCCAUGGAGUCUCUGCUGGGAGUCACUCUGUUGGUAGGUGAAAGUAAGGUGCUUGGCUUCCUGAAUCCCUGGGCACUGAGGGACUGCAGGAUGGAAAUAUUUAAGAGGACCUACAGGAGGAAGUGGGACUGGCCAAGCCACACUGGUCUGAGGCAAAGACAGCCUCCUCUUGGUACACCCAGCCUGUGCCUGUGCAAGCAGUAAAUGCUCUCCUCCAAACUGAGACCACAGAGGCUUUGGCAAGAGAGGUCCCACACAAAGGUUUAGACUCCUCUUUUGUUUGGUGUCAGUGCCUGAUCCCUUGUAUCCACUAAGAGUGAUUUAGCUUCCCUCCUCACCUUGUCUCUCCUACUCCCUGAAGAAUAUUCAUGGUGCCAUAGAACUGAGCUGGCUGGUAAGUUACCUCUCUUUAUACCUCUGGAGAAGUUUGGUUGUAGGCUUUUCUGAAAGCACUUCAUCCAAGGCCCAGCCUGGAGCUGCAGCCUCUACAGGCUUACAGAGUCUGUUCAGAUUGUGUCCCAGUAGCCAGCAAAUUGGAUCAUAGAGUCAGGGAAUGGGCUGGGCUGGAAGUGACCUCCAGAGCUCAUCCAGUCCAACCCUCUGCACUCAGCAGGGACAUCCUCCACUAGAGCAGGUUGCCCAGAGCCCUGUCCAGCCUCAGUUUGAGUAUCUCCAGAGAUGGAGCCUCAGCCACCUCCACUGGCAACCUGCUGCAGUGCUCCAGCAGCCUCCUGGUGCAGAAUUUGUUCCUCACAUCCAAUCUCAGUCUGUUCUGCUCUAGUUUAAAGCCAUUGCUCUUAUCCUGUCCCUGCAGGCCUUUGGGAAUCAAACCUUUCCCUGGGGUGACUCCCAGCCUGCAGGGGGAAGCUGCAUUUCAGCUCCUCUCAGCUGGUGUUUUGCAGAACGCUGAAUGGGGAGGGAAGAGUUGGUUGAUCACCUUCUGGGUUCUUGUGCUGGGUUGCAUGAUUUGAAACUUGCUGGGAUGAAGCCUGCUGUCAGCAAGCUGUGCUUUACUGCUGCAGUCAUGCUUCAGUUUUGCCCAGAGCUUUUUGAACUGAAAUGGGUCAGGCAAAGUGUUGCUUUGAAAUAUUCCUGACUGCUUUGUACAGCUUUGCACACAAAUCCUGGCUGAAGAAAUUCCAGCAUUCCAGUAGAUGGCUCUUCAGUGUCCCUUUUGCAUUCCAUCUAGGAGAGAAAAAAAGAAAGAAACCAAAAGAAACGGAUAGAGAAACCAGACAGAAGAGCACAGGACUCUCCUUCCUCUCCAGUAUUUAUUGCUCUCUUUUUUCCAAUGUAUGUCCUUUUCUAGGUGUUGUCUGUUUUUCUGGGCUUAGGCUCUGUCAUUCUCAACCUCUUGUGUUUCCAGUCAGCACUCCUGGCAGAAGGCUUAGCUCAUAUUUGCCCUGCAGUUUAGAAGUGAUGCUCCUUGAAGACAUAAAACCAAAACAGAAACAAAAAGGACCAAUAAAACAAAAGAAGGCACUGGAGGGUAUUUCACUCUUUCUGGAUCUCUGUGUUUUGAGGUGCAGUGUUUAGGGAGCUUGGUGUUAAUUAUUUUUGCUGGAGGUGGAAAAAGAGAGUGCUGGUGGAAUUGCCCAUUCUGUUUGUCUGAAAACAGCUCUGUGGAUGUCACCUGCUUCAUCUCAGUGCUUCUGAGAGCCCUGCUGCUUGGCAGUGCUCUCAUGGGAUGAUUGUGGGGCUGGGUGGUACCAGGGACAAGAAGAGCAGAGCAGGAGAUGUGGGUCAGUUGUGGUCCCAGGGCUGCAGCCCAGUGCCUGCUUUAUAGUCUCUGCUGGAUGGACAUUUCUGUUCAUUGAUCACCUGGAGCACUGCACAGAACUGCACAGCACUGCAUUUUCUGGGGGGAAGGGCAGGCCUGUGGGAGCCGAGGACACUGCUGAGACCCUGGGGCAGCUUUCUGUGCUAGCCACAGCACCCUUGCGUUUUUUGCUUUCCUGGCUUGCUUUAAUCCUGCAGCUGUACAGAGGGAGGUGCUGGCAUGCUCCCAGCACAGGCCCCACACCACCACCCUUAGGAGUUUCCUGGCAGAUGGAACUUUUCAAACUUGUUCCUGAGGGCAUGAUGGGAGCUGGGGCAUGGUCCUCUGAGGGGGCCUGCAGGGAGCCAUUGAGAUCCUCCUCAAAUGAGCUGUCUCUGCUGGGUCAUCUUGUCGGGGUCUGACAGAGCAGGCUUGGCAGGAGCGUGCAGGCUGCUUGCGGCGUGGCUGCACCUCCUGAAGCAGCAUGACCACAAUCACCUGCUUCUGGAUCGCAGCAGCCUAGACCCAAGGGGGCCUGCUCUCUCCUGGCAGCUUCUCCUGCUUUGGUCACAGAUGUCAGCUGCCACAGGUCUGUGUCCCUUCCAGCUCUGUCACAGCCCUGGUGAGAGGGAAGUCACUCUUCUUGCCUGAAGACGAACCCAGUGUGGCUUUGCCUGCAGCUCUUCAGCUGUUGAUGCCUUUCGCAUUUUGUGUGUUUGUCUCUGUGCUCCUCCUUUCAGUGUGACCAUUUCCCCUUUUCAUGAUGACUUCUCAGAACUUGCUCCUACCCAUACUUUCAGUCCUCUCAUUGUUCUUGGUGGGUUUUUGUCAGAGGCAGAACCUCCUGACAUCACUUGAAGCCUCGGUGGAUGUCUUGGCUGUGGCAGCAGUGGGUAACGUUGGAGGGGCACUGCUGCUUUGCCUCUACCUCCCUGUUCUGUUGAGCUCUUCCCACCUCUGCAGUGCUAUCUUUCUAGCACUGCUGCGUGUCAGCUGGGAAGGAUUUCCACCUUCCAGAACAGUGCAAGUGGGUAGCCCCUGCUGGCUCUGGGGCUUUAUUGUCUGAAUGCUUUUUGAUGCAAACUACACUUGGAACCCAAGUGUUCAGUUGCUUUGAGUGAGUUUGAGAGCUUUAGACCUCCAUGCUGACAGAAGAAACUCAUCAACAACUGCUGCUUCUUGGAGCAGUGAAUUUGCUGAUCAGAUCCAUUGGAGUAGGGUUCUAGAUCCAUUGACCUCUGUUCCCUGUCAUGCCCUGGGUCACCAGCUGGCUGCAUGCACAGCUCUUCAUCUCUGUAUGUUCAAUAAAGAAACAUUUCUUGAUUUAAUUCCAUUUGCAGUGAAGUAGCCUGCUGAGAACAGGGAGCUCAAGAAUUCUUCAGACCUGGUUGUGUUGUAUUCACUGCUUUGGGCCAUUGCCCUUAGAGGAUGCUCUCAGGGGAUGUGGCAGGGCAUUGCUUGCUGUAGUGGUGCCUUGGCAGGUUCCUCAGGCUCAGAUAGGCAACAAGAACCCAUGUAGCCUGCCUCUUUAUCAUCCACGUGAGUACUGGGACUCAGCCAGGACUUUGAAUCCUUGCCUCUUCUGCUUGGAUUCGUCCCAGUAAGUAACUGCAUUUCAUGUCCCAGCUAUGAAACUGGGGCAGUGCCUCUUGCAUUGUUUGGGCUGCAGGCUCUCUAGCUUGAUCCAUCUUUGAACAAUCUCUGUGUCCUUCAUGGGCACUUUGGAAAGAGUAUUGCUUCCUUCCAGAGCAGUUGGGGUUUCUUUUUAUUCUGCAUGCUUAAAAGAAAUGUCCAAGGUACAGUAGGAGAAAGAGUAAAAAAUAAGGAAGCUUUGCCAGUGGAACUGAAGAGCAGGAAUCUUUAUUGCUUAUCCCAGACCAAGUCUCAGAGAAAGUCGGAAGUCUGAAGUGUUAAACCAGCUCGAAGUGGCUCUUGUCAUCUCCUUCAGUAAGCUGAAGCAGCAGCUCAGGGAACCUCCUCAUUCCCAUAUGCAGCUAUGCAGCCCAUAGCUUUAGUUCGCAGCUGUGCAGGUACACAAGUUGGAGCUUGUUACAGAAAAUCCAUCUGGCUGCCCAGAGUGCUGGGAGCUGCCCCAUCCCUGCAGCCAUGCCAGGGCAGGUUGCCUGGGUCUGUGAUGCUGUUUAGAAGUCCUUUCCCGCUCAAACCAUUCCAUGAUUCUGUGUUUUUGCUUGUUUGGCCUGUACAUGCCAAGCAGGGGAGAUCUGCUGUCUGCUGACCCACCAAGUGCUCACUGGAGAGGGAGAUGAGCUGCUGGCUUGAAGGUUGGACUGGAUGGUCUUGGAGAUCUCUUCCAACCAACUAUGUUCUGUGACUCUGCGAUCAGGACCUGCCCAGGGGCUGCAGAACAGGCACUCUGCUGGGCACUGGGGCAGCAGGAGCUCUGGCACAGGUACUCCUGUCUCGUCCUGGGGCUCUGACCUGUCUGGGGAAGGCUUAGGGCCAGGCUGCUCUUGGCUGUGGUUCUCUGCUCUCAAUGUCUGAAUUUCAGUGCUGGUACAGAAGUCUUCAUUUAUAGCAUGUCCAAGAGCUGCACUGCAACAGAGAAGGUAAGUCUGGGGGGCGAGGGGGCAGUGAGUUGACAGCCAGGCCCUCAAUACUGAAUCCCUUCUAGUUUUCCUGAUCUAAUCCUUGCAGUUUUAUGGGCAGAUGUUGGACUGAUCAGGUGGGUGCUAACCCCACAGCAGUGGCAGCAACCAGGGCAUGGGGAGGAAGAGAGCGACUUGAGAAUUAGAUUUUUAACUUUUCCUGCUUUAUGUUUUUGUCCUUUAGACAGAGACCCAGAUGCAAAGUCUGCUCAGUGAGGAAUUUGUCACCUUCCACUUCUGUCUGUGUAGUGCCUGUUGCUGGAAACUCUUGAGCUGCUCACACUCAUUCAUUUCUCCACUAUGAGUGCAGCUGAGUACUGCUUUCUGUUCUGUGCUGGGGGCUGCUGGUUGCUGUUAGCUGUGCUCUAAAGGCAAGAAUUGCAGGUUUGGGUCGAGUGUAGGUGGUGCUUGCUCCACUAAUGUAGAUCUCAGUUCUCUACUUUGGGUGAUGUUUUGGGCCUGUGAGUCUUGCUUUGAUGAAUCAUUAGGUCUCUGGGUUUCUUCCUUAGGUAGCCAAGAAAACACUCUGCUAGGUGGAACCCUGUGUUUCAUUAUUCCUGAGGACAAGUGUAGUGUAAGAACUUGACCCCUGGGUGACUUUAAAUAACUGCACGACAUUUCAGGACAUUCUUUCAGCAUCUUAGAGCCCCAGCCUGGAAGAAUGCAGAAAUGCUUGCUUCUGGGGCUUCCUGUGCCUGUCCUUACAGCUGUGCACACACUGCUCUUGUAGGCCAUGCCAUGAAUGAGCUGUCUCCUAGAAGAGCUUCAGCCCGAUGGGGGCAAGCGAUGGGAGCAGAGACUUCCCCGUGCUGGCAGCUUCAGGUGGGUGUGUCAGGUGUCCACUGCAGAUGUGGUGUUGUGUGUGUUCUCUCCUGUUCUCUGCAGUGCUCCAGAGGCUGCACUUGCCCUGUGUGUUUUGUUCCCUUCCCACUCCUCUUGUCACGUCCAGUUUUUCAAAUAAACAUAUUUCAAAGUCA